rnacentral:rRNA from 1 species
UACGUAGGGCGCAAGCGUUAUCCGGAAUUAUUGGGCGUAAAGAGCUCGUAGGCGGUUUGUCGCGUCUGCCGUGAAAGUCCGGGGCUCAACUCCGGAUCUGCGGUGGGUACAGGCAGACUAGAGUGAUGUAGGGGAGACUGGAAUUCCAGGUGUAGCGGUGAAAUGCGUAGAUAUCUGGAGGAACACCGGUGGCGAAGGCGGCAUCCUGGACCGGUAUUGACGCUGAGGCGCGAAAGCCAGGGGAGCAAACGGG